UACGAAGGGGGCUAGCGUUGCUCGGAAUCACUGGGCGUAAAGCGCACGUAGGCGGCUCUUUAAGUCAGGGGUGAAAUCCUGGAGCUCAACUCCAGAACUGCCUUUGAUACUGGGGAUCUCGAGUCCGGAAGAGGUGAGUGGAACUCCGCGUGUAGAGGUGAAAUUCGUAGAUAUUCGGAAGAACACCAGGGGCGAAGGCGGCUCACUGGUCCGGUACUGAGGCUAAGGUGCGAAAGCGUGGGGAGCAAACAGG
rnacentral:rRNA from 1 species